rnacentral:rRNA from 1 species
AACGAACGCUGGCGGCAUGCCUAACACAUGCAAGUCGAACGAGACCUUCGGGUCUAGUGGCGCACGGGUGCGUAACGCGUGGGAACCUGCCCUUAGGUUCGGAAUAACUCCCCGAAAGGGGUGCUAAUACCGGAUAAUUUCUUCGGACCAAAGAUUUAUCGACUUUGGAUGGGCCCGCGUUGGAUUAGCUGGUUGGUAGGGUAAAAGCCUACCAAGGCGACGAUCCAUAGCUGGUCUGAGAGGAUGAUCAGCCACACUGGGGCUGAGACACGGCGCAGACUCCUACGGGAGGGAGCAGUGGGGGAUAUUGGAAAAUGGGCGGAAGCCUGAUGCAGCAAGGCUGCGUGAGUGAUGAAGGCCUUAGGGUUGUAAAGCUCUUUUACCCGGGAUGAUAAUGACGGUACCGGGAGAAUAAGCUCCGGCUAACUCCGUG